GGGGAUUUGGCUCAGUGGUAGAGCGCUUGCCUAGGAAGCGCAAGGUCCUGGGUUCAAUCCCCAGCCCCA
rfam:Rattus norvegicus chromosome 19, whole genome shotgun sequence.